CAGGGAACUGCUGGUGUUUCACUGGCUGGACUAUUGGGAACUGUGAACCAAAAGACUGGAAGUGCAGGGCUCGGUUUAACUAAGAUGUCAGUACAUGCAAUUCCAAGAAUGGCAGGCAUCAGCGAGAUUGAUGCCACAAAAACCUUUUAACUGAUAAAUAAAGAUUGGGAAGGACUGCCGGAUUGUGAGAACACAUGGGAGAUAUUGAAGCAUAUGGUUAACCAAUUUCCGAGUUCCCACCUUGUGUCUUCUUUACGUGGCUAGAGUAAACCAUUAGACAAAAAGGAACGAAGACUCUAGAGCAGCCAGAGUCUCUCUUCUAUCUUUAAUGAUAAAUAAGGCUUGUUGUAGUUCUACUUAAGACUCUUGUGUCGUUUUUAUGAUGUUUGCUAGAGUGCGUGGAACAGCACUACAAAGGGGUUUGUCCCAACUUAGCAGCGUAAUCAACUAAUGAAUU